CCAUUGGGGGCUGGCAUGGGGAACCCAUCAACAAAUAAUUUUAAAUCAUAGUAGAUUUCAUGACAUGUUGCCAUGGCAGUUAAAGUACAAGUAAAAGAUUGUGGCUAAUCCAUCAGGGCCCAGCAUAGGGAACACAUCAACAAAUAAUUUUAAAUUAUGGUGAUAUAUAUUUUGAUAUGUAUUUUAAUCUGUAUAAUUUUGUCUUUUAUGAUAUGUUUUAUAUUAUAUGUUUUAUAGGAUACUAGCUGUGCCCGGCCACGCGUUGCUGUGGCGAAGUAUGGUGGAGCUUAGCCUUCUAACUGGCAGCAAUUGGAUAAAAGCAAUUAUUCCUCUCUCUCUAAUUAGGACCUUAUUUUUCUUUUCUUUUUGUUGUAUCAACCUAGAGCCGUGGGUGAUGGGUUGUGUUGUCAAAUUUUGACGUUGGGGGCCUGUAGUUUUGUUGUUUUGUGGGUUGCCGUGAUGCCAUCACUCUUUUAUAUAUAUAGAUUAUAGUGCUAUGAUUCCACUUCAACUACCAAUGGCAGCAUCCUAUGGAUCUCCUUUAUCAAUAAUCUUAAAUACCUCUCCGUAAACUUUAAAUCCCUAAAUUGCACUUAAAAGUGUUAGAAAAACUUUUAAGCACUUUGCAUUUCACACUUUAAAUGUAACUAUCAUGCAGUAAAACAUAUAGAUAACUCAGCAAAAUGCAUGGCCUGGUCAUGAAGAACAUGGGAAUAAUGUUCUUCAUGCUGUGGUGGUGCAAUGGAUUAAACCCUUGUGCUGCUGAACUGCUAACCUGAAGGUUGGCAGUUUGAAUCCAUGGGAUAGGGUGAGCUCCUGCUGUUAGUCCUAGCUCCUGCCAACCUAGCAGUUUGAAAACAUGCAAAUAUAAGUAGAUCAAUAGGUACCACUUCGAUAGGAAAAGGUAAGCAGUCAUGCUGGCCACACAACCAGGAGGUGUCUAUGGACGCAGGCUCCUCAGCUUGGAAAUGGAGAAAGAGCACUUCCCUUAGAGCCAGAGAUGAGCCGGAAAUGAAAGGAGAAGCCUUUGUCUGUGUAUUUGUCUCAUUGUAUGUCAUUGUAAUCAAGGCAUUGCAUGUUUGCCUGUGUUUGUUUAUAUAAUGUAAACCACUCUGAGUCCUCUCGGAGAGAAGGGAGGAAUAUAAAUAAAGUGAUUAUUAUUAUUAUUAUUAUUAUUAUUAUUAUUAUUAUUAUUAUUAUUACGCUUAAAAUAAGAAUUAUUGCUAAUAUUUUGAGAAAACUCAUUUUUUAGUGGCAGGUUUACUCUAUGUAUUUAAAUAAUUGCCAACUUGAUAGCAGCUCACUAGGUGAACAGAAUAACCAAACACUCACAACUGGGAACAGAUGCUGCCUAAGAAAUACUUCAUGAUAGUUUGAAAAUGUUAUCAGACAGGCAGAAUGCUAAUUCAUCACUCAGUUUGAUCACAACAGAAUGUGAAUGUAACAAACACUCAUGAGCUUUAAUCAACAAAUGGGCCAGCUAUAGAUUGACAAAGCAUUGUCCAAAGUACUUAAAGAACAACAAUAACAAAGCUUGGACUUAAUUGCAUACCUGAAAUAUUUUCUAUUGAUUUGCAGUAGAUUUAUGACACCAUUGUAAAACUACCCUAUAAUCCGCUAUAACAUAUAAAAAAGGUUUUACAAAAUAUAAAAGGAAUGAAAUGUAUAAUGUUCAAAAAUCACAGCAUCAAUAAUCUACUGUUCUAAAGCCACUUACCCAAAAUAGUGUCAUUGAAUAAAUGCUAUGAAUGAGUGAAUGAGUGAAUGAUAAAUCUACUUGAUAUCAGAAGAGGAGGAAAUAAUAGUAGUACUAAUGGAGAAUGAGAAGAAAAAAGAACUCUGACAGUAACGUUGGCACUCAUCCUAGGGAUGAGUCAUAUUGCAAAACUACCCACCUACCUCACA
ensembl:lncRNA